rnacentral:lncRNA from 1 species
CUGCAGUCUGCACACACACACACACACACACACACACACAUACAGAUCAGCUUGGUGCUUGACGUUUACUGGAUAAUAUGAUGGGCUAAAGCCCUGUAAGAUGCAAUGAUGCCAUGGGCCUGGAGAAGCUCCUGUGUGCCGUGCACCAGCUGGGACACCUCAGAGCUUCUCACACUCAACAUCACCGUGGAAACACCGGCUUCCCCGUAAGGCCUUUAAUCCAGCGAGACCUUGUGUAGCCGAGAGGCGGAGCCAAAUCGAGUACCAGCUGGAGCGGCGGUCGGCGUGGCUGCUGGUGGCGGCCCGGUGGAGGACCUGGCUCGUCCUGGCCGCCUUCGUCUCGCUGCUGGCCCUGGCGCCCUACACGUCGUACCGCAUGCUGACGGCCUUCCGCGACCCCCCUCCGGACCCACUGUUCAAGGCGGCCGCCGUCUGCUUUGGGCUGCUGUCAGUCACCCUGCUGAUCAUGGGCCUGUUCAGCUACUUCCGCGGGGAGUUCCGGAAGGCCCAACACUGCGCCUUCACAGUCCACCCACGCCAGAGCGAUGAGGGCGAUGUGAUGGACUGGCCUGGUUCAGGUCCUCCCCUGACCUGGAUGGACCAAGUCAAGAACCCGGGCCCAUGCCCGGGCCUAAAGAAAUGAGAGAAAUGGAGCAAGGUUGGAAGGAGGGGCCUGGAACGCUUACUGCUUCCCCUCUGGCUGGAAGGAGAUAAGAUUGUCAGCGAGGUCGGGGAGAGGAUGAAGAAAGAGCUGACGGACCCUCGUCUACUCUUUUCAGAUCUGGCCUCCUCCUGGCUACUCCGUCUGAACAGACUCUCUCAAAGAAAAGUUCAACCAUGAGUUCAACCAAAGCGUUUUCAAGCGAGUGUGCACUGCGGAGCAAAUACUUUGAGAGUUUGGACAUUUUGUGUGUUUUUACAGGCACAUGUGCAUAAUGUGCAUAACCACAUUACAGAUUUAAAAUAUCAGUUUACAUCAUUUCCACCAAUGGUCAAAGGUUUUAUUGUUAGAUUCUGCAAUUUUCAUUAAACAGGACAUGCAUUUGUUUACCCGGGCUAGAUUAUUAAUGCUUAUUGGCAUGCUUAUUAAACAUUGAAGUGCAAGUAAAACCUGCGUUACACAUGAGUUGUGCGAUGCUAAUGAUCUCUCUGAAUGAUCAUCGUCCAUGUUGUAGCGCCUCCAUGCUAAUGCAAGCUACGUUUUACUUCGAAUGUUGCAUUUUAGCGAGCAUGUUCCUUUAUACAAGCGUCUUUACUUGUAGCUGUGAUACUUUAGCAAAUUAAAAGCUACUAUCAGAAAAGCGAACGCGAAUAGCAGCAAAUGUUAGAGCUUCAGAUGGAACAAUUUGCCGUGUUUUUAUGUCACUGUGUUAAUGAUACGUGCCUUUAUGAACACUGCAGAUUAGCUUGAAGAUGUUAGCUCAACCACAGUCGGUGUUUCGGGC